AGAGUUUGAUCCUGGCUCAGGACGAACGCUGGCGGCGCGCCUAACACAUGCAAGUCGAACGAGCGAGAGAGAGCUUGCUUUCUCAAGCGAGUGGCGAACGGGUGAGUAACGCGUGAGGAACCUGCCUCAAAGAGGGGGACAACAGUUGGAAACGACUGCUAAUACCGCAUAAGCCCACAGCUCGGCAUCGAGCAGAGGGAAAAGGAGCAAUCCGCUUUGAGAUGGCCUCGCGUCCGAUUAGCUAGUUGGUGAGGUAAUGGCCCACCAAGGCGACGAUCGGUAGCCGGACUGAGAGGUUGAACGGCCACAUUGGGACUGAGACACGGCCCAGACUCCUACGGGAGGCAGCAGUGGGGAAUAUUGCACAAUGGGGGAAACCCUGAUGCAGCGACGCCGCGUGGAGGAAGAAGGUCUUCGGAUUGUAAACUCCUGUUGUUGAGGAAGAUAAUGACGGUACUCAACAAGGAAGUGACGGCUAACUACGUGCCAGCAGCCGCGGUAAAACGUAGGUCACAAGCGUUGUCCGGAAUUACUGGGUGUAAAGGGAGCGCAGGCGGGAACACAAGUUGGAAGUGAAAUCUAUGGGCUCAACCCAUAAACUGCUUUCAAAACUGUUCUUCUGNAGUAGUGCAGAGUNAGACGGAAUUCCCGGUGUAGCGGUGGAAUGCGUAGAUAUCGGGAGGAACACCAGUGGCGAAGGCGGCCUACUGGGCACCAACUGACGCUGAGGCUCGAAAGUGUGGGUAGCANACAGGAUUAGAUACNCUGGUAGUCCACACCGUAAACGAUGAUUACUAGGUGUUGGAGGAUUGACCCCUUCAGUGCCGCAGUUAACACAAUAAGUAAUCCACCUGGGGAGUACGACCGCAAGGUUGAAACUCAAAGGAAUUGACGGGGGCCCGCACAAGCAGUGGAGUAUGUGGUUUAAUUCGACGCAACGCGAAGAACCUUACCAAGUCUUGACAUCCCUUGACGAUGCUGGAAACAGUAUUUCUCUUCGGAGCAAGGAGACAGGUGGUGCAUGGUUGUCGUCAGCUCGUGUCGUGAGAUGUUGGGUUAAGUCCCGCAACGAGCGCAACCCUUACUGUCAGUUACUACGCAAGAGGACUCUGGCAGGACUGCCGUUGACAAAACGGAGGAAGGUGGGGAUGACGUCAAAUCAUCAUGCCCUUUAUGACUUGGGCUACACACGUACUACAAUGGCGUUAAACAAAGAGAAGCAAGACCGCGAGGUGGAGCAAAACUCAGAAACAACGUCCCAGUUCGGACUGCAGGCUGCAACUCGCCUGCACGAAGUCGGAAUUGCUAGUAAUCGUGGAUCAGCAUGCCACGGUGAAUACGUUCCCGGGCCUUGACACACCGCCCGUCAA
rnacentral:rRNA from 1 species